rnacentral:rRNA from 1 species
GUGCAGCAGUCGAGAAUUUUUCUCAAUGGGCGAAAGCCUGAAGGAGCGACGCCGCGUGGAGGAUGAAGGCCUUCGGGUUGUAACUCCUGUCAUUUGAGAACAAGUGUCGGCAAGUAACUACUGCCGACUUGAUAGUAUCAGAAGAGGAAGGGACGGCUAACUCUGUGCCAGCAGCCGCGGUAAUACAGAGGUCCCAAGCGUUGUUCGGAUUCAUUGGGCGUAAAGGGUGCGUAGGUGGCGCCAUAAGUCAGGUGUGAAAUUUCGGAGCUUAACUCCGAAACUGCAUUUGAUACUGUGGUGCUUGAGGACUGGAGAGGAGACUGGAAUUUACGGUGUAGCAGUGAAAUGCGUAGAGAUCGUAAGGAAGACCAGUGGCGAAGGCGGGUCUCUGGACAGUUCCUGACACUGAGGCACGAAGGCCAGGGGAGCAAACGGGAUUAGGAUACCCCGGUAGU